AUUAAGGUGGCAGAGCCCGGUAUUGCAAGAGGUCUAAGCCCUCUCAACAGAGGUUCAAAUCCUCUCCUUAAUA
rnacentral:tRNA from 1 species